rnacentral:rRNA from 1 species
CCUACGGGAGGCAGCAGUGGGGAAUAUUGGACAAUGGGGGCAACCCUGAUCCAGCCAUGCCGCGUGUGUGAAGAAGGCCCUCGGGUUGUAAAGCACUUUCAGUGAGGAAGAACGCCUGGUGGUUAAUACCCAUCAGGAAAGACAUCACUCACGGAAGAAGCACCGGCUAACUCCGUGCCAGCAGCCGCGGUAAUACGGAGGGUGCGAGCGUUAAUCGGAAUUACUGGGCGUAAAGCGCGCGUAGGUGGCUUGAUAAGCCGGUUGUGAAAGCCCCGGGCUCAACCUGGGAACGGCAUCCGGAACUGUCAAGCUAGAGUGCAGGAGAGGAAGGUAGAAUUCCCGGUGUAGCGGUGAAAUGCGUAGAGAUCGGGAGGAAUACCAGUGGCGAAGGCGGCCUUCUGGACUGACACUGACACUGAGGUGCGAAAGCGUGGGUAGCAAACAGGAUUAGAUACCCUUGUAGUC